AAAGCGUGCGCAGGCGGUUAUGCAAGACAGAGGUGAAAUCCCCGGGCUCAACCUGGGAACUGCCUUUGUGACUGCAUAGCUAGAGUACGGUAGAGGGGGAUGGAAUUCCGCGUGUAGCAGUGAAAUGCGUAGAUAUGCGGAGGAACACCGAUGGCGAAGGCAAUCCCCUGGACCUGUACUGACGCUCAUGCACGAAAGCGUGGGGAGCAAACAGGAUUAGAUACCCCGGU
rnacentral:rRNA from 1 species